GAUGAACGCUGCCGGCGUGCCUAAUACAUGCAAGUCGAGCGAACAGACGAGGAGCUUGCUCCUUUGACGUUAGCGGCGGACGGGUGAGUAACACGUAGGUAACCUACCUAUAAGACUGGGAUAACUUCGGGAAACCGGAGCUAAUACCGGAUAAUAUUUCGAACCGCAUGGUUCGAUAGUGAAAGAUGGCUUUGCUAUCACUUAUAGAUGGACCUGCGCCGUAUUAGCUAGUUGGUAAGGUAACGGCUUACCAAGGCAACGAUACGUAGCCGACCUGAGAGGGUGAUCGGCCACACUGGAACUGAGACACGGUCCAGACUCCUACGGGAGGCAGCAGUAGGGAAUCUUCCGCAAUGGGCGAAAGCCUGACGGAGCAACGCCGCGUGAGUGAUGAAGGUCUUCGGAUCGUAAAACUCUGUUAUUAGGGAAGAACAAACGUGUAAGUAACUGUGCACGUCUUGACGGUACCUAAUCAGAAAGCCACGGCUAACUACGUG
rnacentral:rRNA from 1 species